ACUGCCUUCACACCACUGAGAGUGAGAGAGUGAGACGUGUAUAGGGAUAAUAGUUCGUGACGAGAGUGAUGAGAGCGAUGAGAGCAAGGACGUACGUGUAUAGGGAUAAUAGUUCGUGAUGAGAGGGAGCAGCAGUUGUUGCUCAGUUGGCAUUUCAGAGUUACAUGUACACAGUGGUUUGCAAACAGGCUGAAAAAACAUCUCAGGAUUGGAAGCAGCUGAGCGAAAUUUAAGUGUUCUCCAGGAUCAAUUGCAAGCAGCAUUCGACUGUUCGACAAUACAAUGGCCUAUUCCAUGGUGAGUUUUUGGAAGAAGCAGAAGGUUUAAAGGGGCCAGUAGCUGUAAUUCCAGACAGCUGGCUGCUAGCAUUUUUAAAGAUUCCAGUGGUCGCAGGAUGUGCAACUGGCCAUCAAAAUCUUCAAGCUUCAUUAUUAAACACCAGAUUCCUCAUGGCCCAUACAUCCAGUUCGCUUGCACA